CUUUCCGGUUUAGUUACGUUUACUAGUUAUUCUUGUUAUUAAUUUUUACUAUUUGAAAAGUUAUUUUAUAUGUGCAGCUCAACAAUGAAGUAGAGGAUAUGCGGUAUCAACUCGACAUCAAGAAUUUAUAAGACUUUUUUGGACAGGUGGACAGCCGGCGCGUGGUAGGAAAGCUCUCUAGCCGUGGAGUGUGAUUUGUAUCAGCGUCUCCACGGUGGAGAACCAGUACCAACCCAUUCUUGACACGACCUGGACUCAAGACAGCGGACAACAUACUUUUUUGGACAGGUGGACAGCCGGCGCGUGGUAGGAAAGCUCUCUAGCCGUGGAGUGUGAUUUGUAUCAGCGUCUCCACGGUGGAGAACCAGUACCAACCCAUUCUUGACACGACCUGGACUCAAGACAGCAGACAACAU